AACAGUUUUCACAGAAAUAGGAAAUGACUGUUACCUUUAGGCUUGUGGGUUUUUAGGUUAUAGGCUUCUUUGUUUUCUGUUUAAAAACUUGACACUUCCAUUUCUUUCUGUUUGCCUCCAUCUUCCAGCUCUCUUUGAACCCCCUCUUUUCUUUCAGGUAUGCUUAUCACUCAGCGUGCUUCAAUUACCAUGAAGGAGAUGACAACAGCCAAGACCUUGAAAGAGACACAGGAAGGAGUACAGGCACAUUCUGGCGAAUCCUGUUACCUCUGACCUGCAGGUGGGAAACGCACCAUGGCCCGGUCCCAGCAUCCCUCCUCCAGCCUUUCCACUGCUGGGAUCAGAUCACUUUUGAGCUGAACAUCGCACAGGAAAUACCACUUUGAGGGCUGAAUUCAUGACCAAACAGAGAAGGCCAAACCCUUGCUGUUGCCCUGUGCAUCAGGGGAUGUCCAUCUCUUCUACACAAACAGAUGGCACUGGAACAACGGGUCUCCGUGCACGAGGCUUUGUGGAUGCUCAGUUCACAGCGAGCAUAAGACAAAGUAAAACCAGACUGAAAACUUUCAUUACCCAGCGAUGCAAGUCACAACGGCAGGGUUAAAUCUGUUUCUAUUUAGACGAUAUCUGGAACAGCGUUUUAUUAUACAGCCUGUAAAGCACUGCCUGUGCAUGGGUGGAAAGUACAUUGUCUCCUUAAAUAAAGAACUGGGGCCGGAUUGUUUGGCACUUUCUUUUUUUCUUCUUGUUUUUGCUUUAACCAUAAACACAAAGUAACCAUUUCUCCAUAACAUUGAACUCUUUGUGGCCUUCCUAGAAACAAUAAAAGCACCCAAAAAUAAACAACUACUUAGAAUAAAUAUUAACUCGGGGACCUUUAAAACAUGAAGAAAGCUGUCUCCGCAAUAUCGUCUCUUCCCUGAUAAUGCAAAAGCCAC
ensembl:lncRNA